rnacentral:lncRNA from 14 species
GGAGCAGGCUAACGUGAAGUCUCCCCGGCAGAGUAGGGUGAGACUGUGUUUGAAGGGCAAGGGGAAGAUGUCCUCCACAUGCAUCGAUCGAUCAGACAGGAAACUGCAGCAGCCAGGCUCAGGUCCUGAGUGCACUCAAGCUGCCAGGAGACACGGACCGCACUGGGCAGCCGCAGCUUCUGCAGUGGACGGCAGGGUCCACCCUCCUCUCGAGUAGUUGUGUCACACAGACGUUCUCAAACCUGGGCCAGAGCUUGAGAACCCCAGCAAGCUUACGCUUACAUCAGCUCCCCAAGUGUGCCUGUGAUUCAGUGCCGUCUCCUCCUUCACAGAUGUCCCAGCACCAGGUGCAUGCGGUUCAGCAGCUUGCCAAGGUCAUGGGCUGGCAGGUCCUCAGCUUCAGCAAUCACGUGGGACUCGGGCCCAUAGAGAGUAUUGGCAAUGCCUCCGCCAUCACAGUGGCCUCGCCAAGUGGUGACUAUGCUAUUUCAGUUCGUAACGGACCCGAGAGUGGCAGCAAGAUCAUGGUUCAGUUUCCCCGUAACCAGUGCAAAGACCUUCCGAAAAGUGAUGUUUUACAAGAUAGCAAGUGGAGCCAUCUCCGAGGACCGUUCAAGGAGGUUCAGUGGAACAAGAUGGAGGGCCGAAACUUCGUUUAUAAAAUGGAGCUGCUUAUGUCUGCCCUGAGUCCCUGUCUCCUGUGAUUUUCUCCAGAACAAGUUGCAGAAAUUCUGACCUGCGUGUUUGCAGAUCAGUUAUAAGCACAAGGGAGCGAUGGCCUCCGUAUGAGUACUGAGCACAGACUCGUGCACUGGCGCUCUAGCCUUUCGCGGGAGUCCUGUUUAAAAGUGACAUGUUUACCCUGCGUUUGAAUUCUCUCACGUUAUAAGUGACGAGUACUUUGGAAUGGAAAAAUGUAUGUACAGUUUUAGUAUGCAGUAUGGGGAGAUGUAAAAUAGUACAUUUUUAUACAGCUCACCUGAAAAUAUUACUAACUUAAGGGCUUGAAUUUGCUUUUUUUUAAAUUACAUCUUUAAUGUUAACAUAAACUUUGUGUUUAAAAAUCUCCAAGUAUUUUGUGAAUUUCUCAUAACCUAUAUGAGCUGCGUCUCAAAUCAGCCACUCCUGCUGUUUCUUUAAAAAUCACUGAAGACCGUCUUACAGCACAGAUUCACUGACCACACCAGGCCCUGUCCCUGAAGUUUCACCGAGAUCACUCACAGGAGUAGUCUUCCCUAGCACCUGGGGCUCUCGGGGUGUGUGGGACAUGAAGUGCCUUUGUAGCCAUCUUCUCCUCACCUGGGUCAACAUGAAUGAACAGGGUAAGAACUUCCUCAAAAAGCAGUGGAAACCAAAAAAUGUACCAUGAUAGUCUGUUUUUCCUGUUAGUGCUCACUGUUUCUGGCUGUGGUAGAAACUUCCACAGAGCCGCAUCUCGCUUGAAUUUUGACAAGCUGAGGUAAAUAUAAAGGAG